GGAAUUUUCCACAAUGGACGAAAGUCUGAUGGAGCAACGCCGCGUGAACGAUGAANGUCUUCGGAUUGUAAAGUUCUGUUGUUAGGGACGAAUAAGUACCGNUCGAAUAGGGCGGUACCUUGACGGUACCUGACGAGAAAGCCNCGGCUAACUACGUGCCAGCAGCCGCGGUAAUACGUAGGUGGCAAGCGUUGUCCGGAUUUAUUGGGCGUAAAGCGCGCGCAGGCGGCUAUGUAAGUCUGGUGUUAAAGCCCGGAGCUCAACUCCGGUUCGCAUCGGAAACUGUGUAGCUUGAGUGCAGAAGAGGAAAGCGGUAUUCCACGUGUAGCGGUGAAAUGCGUAGAGAUGUGGAGGAACACCAGUGGCGAAGGCGGCUUUCUGGUCUGUAACUGACGCUGAGGCGCGAAAGCGUGGGGAGCAAACAGGAUUAGAUACCCUGGUAGUCCACGCCGUAAACGAUGAGUGCUAGGUGUUGGGGGUUUCAAUACCCUCAGUGCCGCAGCUAANGCAAUAAGCACUCCGCCUGGGGAGCCGCUCGCAAGAGUGAAACUCAAAGGAAU
rnacentral:rRNA from 1 species